UGAUGGCUGCAACCGCUCAUAACAGGGUUUUAAGACGGGAAAUCGUCCCCUGCGCUGGCGAGUCUCUUUCAGAAA
rfam:Holdemania filiformis DSM 12042 genomic scaffold Scfld10, whole genome shotgun sequence.